rnacentral:lncRNA from 1 species
CCUCGAUGCCCUUUACUCUUUUUUGAAAAAACUUUAAAUACCAACCCUAUGGUUUCACACCUUUUUAUUUUAGUAUCCACGGUUUAAGGUGUAUCAAUUUAAUACCCCAUAGUUUCAGUUUGCUCUUUUUAUUAUCCCCCACUAAUUUUUUUUUCGUUAAAUCAGUAACAAAGUUAAAACUAAAAGAUAUUAAAGUAAUAUUCAAUAAACUUAGAUGAGUAUCUGAUGUUUUUUGUAUAUAACUUAACGAAAUGUUAAUAAGGAGCUUACGAAAAAUGAAAAAUACUUUUUGAUGUGUUAGAAAAAUACUUUUUUUUAUUG